UAAAUGCACUUAAUGGUAUGAAGUCUGAACCAUUCAGAUUCAAACAUCCAUUAAGUGCAAGCAAAUGAGGCCUAACAUAGCAUUAGGAGAAAAAUAUAAGAAAAAAGUUUAAUCUAUAAAAGUGUAGAGAAAUAAUACAAAUGCUCAGUUGUACUUAUUCACACACCUUUUUUUGUUUUAACUGGGUUAUAAGUACCUCAUUUUUAUUCUUAUCAAUUUU
rnacentral:lncRNA from 1 species